rnacentral:rRNA from 1 species
GCCUACGGCCAUACCAGUCCGAAAGUGCCUGAUCUUGUCAGAUCUCAGAAGUCAUGCAGACUUGGGCCUGUUUAGUACUUGUAUGGGAGACCAACUAGGAACCUCAGGUGCCGUAAGCU